rnacentral:rRNA from 1 species
AGUUAUCGUUUAUUUGAUAAUACCUUACUACUUGGAUAACCGUGGUAAUUCUAGAGCUAAUACAUGCUGAAAAUCCCGACUUCGGAAGGGAUGUGUUUAUUAGAUAAAAAACCAAUGCCCUUCGGGGCUUUUUGGUGAUUCAUGAUAACUUUACGGAUCGCAUAGCCUUGCGCUGGCGACGGUUCAUUCAAAUUUCUGCCCUAUCAACUUUCGAUGGUAAGGUAUUGGCUUACCAUGGUUUCAACGGGUAACGGGGAAUUAGGGUUCGAUUCCGGAGAGGGAGCCUGAGAAACGGCUACCACAUCCAAGGAAGGCAGCAGGCGCGCAAAUUACCCAAUCCCGACACGGGGAGGUAGUGACAAUAAAUACUGAUACAGGGCUCUUUUGGGUCUUGUAAUUGGAAUGAGUACAAUUUAAACCUCUUAACGAGGAACAAUUGGAGGGCAAGUCUGGUGCCAGCAGCCGCGGUAAUUCCAGCUCCAAUAGCGUAUAUUAAAGUUGUUGCAGUUAAAAAGCUCGUAGUUGAAACUUGGGCCUGGCUGGCGGGUCCGCCUCACCGCGUGCACUCGUCCGGCCGGGCCUUCCUUCUGAAGAACCUCAUGCCCUUCACUGGGCGUGCUGGGGAAUCAGGACUUUUACUUUGAAAAAAUUAGAGUGUUCAAAGCAGGCCUUUGCUCGAAUACGUUAGCAUGGAAUAAUAAAAUAGGGCGUGCGUUUCUAUUUUGUUGGUUUCUAGAGACGCCGCAAUGAUUAACAGGAACAGUCGGGGGCAUCAGUAUUCAGUUGUCAGAGGUGAAAUUCUUGGAUUUACUGAAGACUAACUACUGCGAAAGCAUUUGCCAAGGAUGUUUUCAUUAAUCAGUGAACGAAAGUUAGGGGAUCGAAGACGAUCAGAUACCGUCGUAGUCUUAACCGUAAACUAUGCCGACUAGGGAUCGGGCGAAGUUCUUUUUCUGACUCGCUCGGCACCUUACGAGAAAUCAA